AAUAGAUACCCUGGUAGUCCACCCCGUAAACGUUGGGAACUAGUUGUGGGGACCAUUCCACGGUUUCCGUGACGCAGCUAACGCAUUAAGUUCCCCGCCUGGGGAGUACGGCCGCAAGGCUAAAACUCAAAGGAAUUGACGGGGACCCGCACAAGCGGCGGAGCAUGCGGAUUAAUUCGAUGCAACGCGAAGAACCUUACCAAGGCUUGACAUAUACGAGAACGGGCCAGAAAUGGUCAACUCUUUGGACACUCGUAAACAGGUGGUGCAUGGUUGUCGUCAGCUCGUGUCGUGAGAUGUUGGGUUAAGUCCCGCAACGAGCGCAACCCUCGUUCUAUGUUGCCAGCACGUAAUGGUAGGAACUCAUGGGAUACUGCCGGGGUCAACUCGGAGGAAGGUGGGGAUGACGUCAAAUCAUCAUGCCCCUUAUGUCUUGGGCUUCACGCAUGCUACAAUGGCCGGUACAAAGGGCUGCAAUACCGUAAGGUGGAGCGAAUCCCAAAAAGCCGGUCCCAGUUCGGAUUGAGGUCUGCAACUCGACCUCA
rnacentral:rRNA from 1 species